GAUCAUGGCUCAGAUUGAACGCUGGCGGCAUGCUUUACACAUGCAAGUCGAACGGCAGCACGGGCUUCGGCCUGGUGGCGAGUGGCGAACGGGUGAGUAAUGCAUCGGAACGUGCCCAUGUUGUGGGGGAUAACUACGCGAAAGCGUGGCUAAUACCGCAUACGCCCUGAGGGGGAAAGCGGGGGGAUUCUUCGGAACCUCGCGCAAUUGGAGCGGCCGAUGUCAGAUUAGCUUGUUGGUGAGGUAAAGGCUCACCAAGGCGACGAUCUGUAGCGGGUCUGAGAGGAUGAUCCGCCACACUGGGACUGAGACACGGCCCAGACUCCUACGGGAGGCAGCAGUGGGGAAUUUUGGACAAUGGGGGCAACCCUGAUCCAGCCAUGCCGCGUGAGUGAAGAAGGCCUUCGGGUUGUAAAGCUCUUUCAGCCGGGAAGAAAACGCACGCUCUAACAUAGCGUGUGGAUGACGGUACCGGACCAAGAAGCACCGGCUAACUACGUG
rnacentral:rRNA from 1 species